rnacentral:rRNA from 1 species
AGCGAACGCUGGCGGCUGGCUUAACACAUGCAAGUCGAGCGGGCCCUUCGGGGUCAGCGGCAGACGGGUGAGUAACACGUGGGAACGUACCCUUUGGUUCGGAAUAACGCUGGGAAACUAGCGCUAAUACCGGAUACGCCCUUUUGGGGAAAGGCUUGCUGCCGAAGGAUCGGCCCGCGUCUGAUUAGCUAGUUGGUGGGGUAAUGGCCUACCAAGGCGACGAUCAGUAGCUGGUCUGAGAGGAUGAUCAGCCACACUGGGACUGAGACACGGCCCAGACUCCUACGGGAGGCAGCAGUGGGGAAUAUUGGACAAUGGGCGCAAGCCUGAUCCAGCCAUGCCGCGUGAGUGAUGAAGGCCUUAGGGUUGUAAAGCUCUUUUGUCCGGGACGAUAAUGACGGUACCGGAAGAAUAAGCCCCGGCUAACUUCGUG